rnacentral:rRNA from 1 species
UACGUAGGGUGCGAGCGUUAAUCGGAAUUACUGGGCGUAAAGCGUGCGCAGGCGGCUAUUUAAGCUUGCUGUGAAAGCCCCGGGCUUAACCUGGGAACUGCAGUGAGGACUGGAUGGCUGGAGUGUGGCAGAGGGGGGUGGAAUUCCACGUGUAGCAGUGAAAUGCGUAGAGAUGUGGAGGAACACCGGUGGCGAAGGCGGGUCUCUGGGCCGAUACUGACGCUGAGGAGCGAAAGCGUGGGGAGCGAACAGG